UCCCAUACAUUUAUUAAUAAAUCAGAUAGUACUAAUAUGAGUCCUGCUUGCUUUCUCUAAACUCUUUAAUUGUACAAUCUCUGACAUAACAGCAGGGACUGUUCUUUGGAGAAAACAUAUUAUGCAAAAAAAGAAAACAUAGAGGAAGCAGCAUUUAGAAAAACAUAUAGGAAUAAUAAGAGAAUGCAGAAGGUGCCCAUGUCAUGUGGAAGAUGUUUGAGGAAAUGCUUUCAGGCUAAAGGCUUCAAGAAUACCUCAUGCUUAAUAGGCUGGUCACCUGCAAGAAGUGAUAUCUAUGAUCACAGCCAUUCUCUGAGUGUUUUUAGUAGGAAAAAGGUUUUGAAACAAGGUCAUCAAUACAGAAGUAUACCAUCUAAAGCAUUUUGAGAGAAACACUGACAAUAACCAUUUGUCACUGACCUGACAAUGAUGUUGAAGUGCCUUAGUGACUACAUUGCAGCUUGGGAAACUUCUGUGCUUGGCAUUUAG